rnacentral:rRNA from 1 species
CCUACGGGUGGCUGCAGUAGGGAAUAUUCCACAAUGGGCGAAAGCCUGAUGGAGCAACGCCGCGUGCAGGAUGAAGGCCUUCGGGUUGUAAACUGCUUUUAUAUGUGAAGAAUAUGACGGUAGCAUAUGAAUAAGCCUCGGCUAACUCCGUGCCAGCAGCCGCGGUCAUACGGAGGAGGCAAGCGUUAUCCGGAUUUACUGGGCGUAAAGAGUUGCGUAGGCGGUUUUGUAAGCAAAUAGUGAAAUCAUGUGGCUCAACCAUACUGACUAUUAUUUGAACUGCAGAACUUGAGAGCGAGAGGGGUGAUUGGAAUUCCCGGUGUAGGAGUGAAAUCCGUAGAUAUCGGGAGGAACACCAAUGGCGUAGGCAGAUCACUGGCUCGUUUCUGACGCUAAGGCACGAAAGCGUGGGUAGCAAACGGGAUUAGAUACCCUAGUAGUC